GUUGAGCAGCCACUAUUUAUUCUUCCUAAGAAACGUAACGGGAAGAAGCAAAACUCAAUCGCUGGUCAUGUCGAUCACAUAAUAACUGUUCAGGGUGUCGCUGACGCAACUGAAGUACCCACAAAAUAUAAAAAUGGUUUAUCACCUGUUUCCGAACAUGUUGCUA